CUUGCAUAUGCCAGUUUUCUCGGCGAUGGGUCGGAUCUUGUUGAUAAAUCCAAGGGGGUCCGAGAAAUCCUCCCAACUUGGCUCAAAAACGGGACAUUCGGGCGGGGGUACAAACUCACCGAUCGCAGACAUGUUUGGAGGCCAUGAUUGGAUCCAAAUGUUCCUCGUCGCGGGGAACUUCCUCCAUCAUCUUCCUCGGAGUAAACAGCGUCAAUGACGUUGAGUAUAGGAGAUGUAAUGUUGAUAUUUUGAACGUUGCUCCAGCCUGGAUUCAUGCAAAACGAUGAUUUGUGGAGCUUUGUCGCCUCUCCUACAGCGGACAGAGGGCAGUGUCAGUCCAAAACGCCAUCACGCCUCUUCUCUCACGACGGAGACGAGGAGACGACUUUAUCCACUGUUUGAUUGCAAAACACACAAGUUCUUGGUGAUACAAAGAACACAAUCCAGGACGGCGACGUAGCUGUGGGUGCUAACCUAGCUCCGUGUGUGGAUCUGUGGAACACAUGAUCUCUUCGCGAUGCUGCACUUCCAAUCGAACGUACUCACGCCAAACAAUGUACGGCCAUUCAAGGAAGACAUGGAUGAUCGAUUGGGACGGGUCUGCAAUACCAGGAUGGAUCUCUGGAUGUCCCCAAUGGGCUGUAUCCCACAAUGACAAUGUCUUUCUGCCUGCAAUACUCCAACAACUUUGGCUGAGUGUAAUAGGGGUGGCAUUCAACCUGAGAAAAUAUGUGAAUUUACUGAGUGCUUUGUAUUGCGUUCAUCAGCAUAGAAGUAAUAUUACCAACACAGUUAAAUCUGGUGACAUAUUUUUAGUUUUAUGUAAUCUAUUAUAUUUGUUGAGUAAGAUUGUUAACAUUGGACUUGUUUUUGCAAUCAUUUACCUUCUUCACUAAGUGUCUUUUUGUAUUUACUGUACAUAUUUGUACCUGAU